CUGAGAAUCCCGAGGGUUUGGAGGUGUUUCCCACAUUUCCCACACCCCGGGUGCCAGGGGAAGGCUGGAUGUGGGGGAUGAGCCCCAAAUCCCCCAUCCUGGGAUCUGAGUGAUCUUGGAAUGGCAGCAAAAGGUGCUGAGCAAAACUCAGGAAUCCCAGCUCUUCCUUGGAAGAAAACAAGGAUGAGGGUGCUCCUGGGGGAAAACGGGACCCACGCCGGUGCCUCCUCUUCCUCAACGCUCCGGCUGCUCUGGGUGGAGACGCCUUGGCCAAGGCUGGGCCAGCAGAGAGCAGAGGGUCCCUGAGCCACGCCGGGGUCUGGCACUGCAGUUCUCCAGCAGCAUCCCAUUGCUCUGGGGAGGACCGGGAUCCAGCCGGCUCCAGCACUGGAAUUGGGGAUCACAGGUCCCGGGGUGCCCAGGACCAGCAGCACCCACCCGGGGAGGGAAAAGACUCUGGGAAGAGGGAUUGGGGCUGGAG